rnacentral:rRNA from 1 species
UACGUAGGGGGCAAGCGUUAUCCGGAUUCACUGGGCGUAAAGGGAGCGCAGGCGGCAUGGCAAGUCUGAUGUGAAAACCCGGGGCCCAACCCCGGGAGUGCAUUGGAAACUGCCAGGCUGGAGUGUCGGAGGGGUAAGCGGAAUUCCUAGUGUAGCGGUGAAAUGCGUAGAUAUUAGGAGGAACACCAGUGGCGAAGGCGGCUUACUGGACGACUACUGGCGCUGAGGCUCGAAAGCGUGGGGAGCAAACAGG